rnacentral:rRNA from 1 species
UACGAAGGGGGCUAGCGUUGCUCGGAAUCACUGGGCGUAAAGCGCACGUAGGCGGAUUGUUAAGUCAGGGGUGAAAUCCUGGAGCUCAACUCCAGAACUGCCUUUGAUACUGGCGAUCUUGAGUCCGGGAGAGGUGAGUGGAACUCCGAGUGUAGAGGUGAAAUUCGUAGAUAUUCGGAAGAACACCAGUGGCGAAGGCGGCUCACUGGCCCGGUACUGACGUUGAUGUGCGAAAGCGUGGGGAGGCAAACAGG